UACGUAGGGUGCGAGCGUUAAUCGGAAUUACUGGGCGUAAAGUGUGCGCAGGCGGCCGAGCAAGUCGAGUGUGAAAGCCCCGGGCUUAACUUGGGAAUUGCGCUCGAAACUACUUGGCUGGAGUGUGGCAGAGGAAGGUGGAACUCCACGUGUAGCGGUGAAAUGCGUAGAGAUGUGGAGGAACACCGAUGGCGAAGGCAGCCUUCUGGGCCAGCACUGACGCUCAUGCACGAAAGCGUGGGGAGCAAACAGG
rnacentral:rRNA from 1 species